GAUGAACGCUAGCGGCAGGCCUAACACAUGCAAGUCGAACGAGACCUUCGGGUCUAGUGGCGCACGGGUGCGUAACGCGUAGGCAAUCUACCCGAUACAGGGGAAUAACACGGGGAAACUCGUGCUAAUACCGCGUAAUAAAUGAGAAGGCAUCUUCUUAUUUUAAAGCUUUGGCGGUAUCGGAAGAGCCUGCGUCCUAUUAGCUAGUUGGUAAGGUAUGGCUUACCAAGGCGACGAUAGGUAGGGGAACUGAGAGGUUGAUCCCCCACACUGGUACUGAGAUACGGACCAGACUCCUACGGGAGGCAGCAGUGAGGAAUAUUGGUCAAUGGACGGAAGUCUGAACCAGCCAUGCCGCGUGUCGGAAGACUGCCCUC
rnacentral:rRNA from 1 species